GAUGAACGCUGGCGGCGUGCCUAAUACAUGCAAGUCGAGCGAACAGACGAGGAGCUUGCUCCUCUGACGUUAGCGGCGGACGGGUGAGUAACACGUGGAUAAACUACCUAUAAGACUGGGAUAACUUCGGGAAACCGGAGCUAAUACCGGAUAAUAUAUUGAACCGCAUGGUUCAAUAGUGAAAGACGGUUUUGCUGUCACUUAUAGAUGGAUCCGCGCCGCAUUAGCUAGUUGGUAAGGUAACGGCUUACCAAGGCAACGAUGCGUAGCCGACCUGAGAGGGUGAUCGGCCACACGUGAACUGAGACACGGUCCAGACUCCUACGGGAGGCAGCAGUAGGGAAUCUUCCGCAAUGGGCGAAAGCCUGACGGAGCAACGCCGCGUGAGUGAUGAAGGUCUUCGGAUCGUAAAACUCUGUUAUUAGGGAAGAACAAAUGUGUAAGUAACUAUGCACGUCUUGACGGUACCUAAUCAGAAAGCCACGGCUAACUACGU
rnacentral:rRNA from 1 species